rnacentral:tRNA from 1 species
GCUUCUUUGGCUCAGUCGGCAGAGCGUAGGUCUCAUAAUCCUAAGGUCGCGAGUUCGAAUCUCGCAAGAAGCA